rnacentral:rRNA from 1 species
GACGAACGCUGGCGGCGUGCUUAACACAUGCAAGUCGAGCGGUAAGGCCCUUUCGGGGGUACACGAGCGGCGAACGGGUGAGUAACACGUGGGUGACCUGCCCUCAGCUCUGGGAUAAGCCUGGGAAACUGGGUCUAAUACUGGAUAUGACUCCACGGUGCAUGUCGUGGGGUGGAAAGCCUUGCGCGGCUGAGGAUGGGCCCGCGGCCUAUCAGCUUGUUGGUGGGGUGAGGCCUACCAAGGCGACGACGGGUAGCCGGCCUGAGAGGGCGACCGGCCACACUGGGACUGAGACACGGCCCAGACUCCUACGGGAGGCAGCAGUGGGGAAUCUUGCGCAAUGGGCGAAAGCGUGACGCAGCAACGCCGCGUGGGGGAAGAAGGG